GGUAUGUAACAAUAUAACAAUACUACAUUGUUGUUACUAGUGUAAUAAUAGCAUAACCACACAUAUCUACCUAGCUAUACAUGUCUACUUUGAUAACAAGGUUGCCAAGAAAAUUUAAUAAUUAUUUCCUUUUCAAAUGUGAUAAAAGUAGCCCUUUGCAAUGCACCCUUCUAUCUUAUAGUGCAUCCAGCGUUGUAUCUCCUCUCUUUCUAGGUGCCUUCACACAAAGCCCUCUUUUCACUUCUCAAACAAGUUCAGGCUAGCUUUGUAAUGGGCAAUCGCCAUGAAAAGCCAGAGUCAGUCAGACAGGAAGAGACCAUACAAUAAUUGAAAUAUGCAGUACUACAAUACCCUUGUAUAACACUAUUGACAUGUAAGGGCCCAUAGAAACUAAAUGAAUACAUUUUAGCAGAGUUGGGUUGCCAGACGCUGUCCGUCCGUCCGUCCGUCUGUCUUUCUUCCAAUUUUGCUAUGUUCAGGUCAAUUGAGCAGCUUGGUUUUAGAAGAGUGACUGACAGACAAGCAGCGUAACCUCUCAGUCAUCUCAGGAAACGUCAUACCCAGGGGCUGCACAGCUUUUACUUCCAUUAGUCUUCAUUUCAGGAUCGCACAGGGCUUUGACGUCCACUAAAAGAAGGCUGUGUGCAAACAUACGUCCUUCUUCAUGAAGAAAAAACAAGGAUUACUUUAGGAUGACACAAUGAAAGUUAUUUAGAGGGGCGGUUUAUUUUGGGUGACCUUCAAUAUUGACUAAAAAGAGACCAAAAUAAGAAAAUGGCUUCUCCCAGGUGGGGCCAGUGGACAUGAAAGACAUCCAGCACUGUAGGUUUUACCAGGACAUCAUCCAGGGAGUAGCCAGAGGUAAUGACCACAGCAGGCCACAAUAGAGGUACUGCAUAUUAUGGAGAAUCUAUCAUUUUAGAAUGUUACUUUCUUCUGAAAUUCAAUUUGACCAGUCGCUUCUUGUACUAUUUCAACCUCUGAAAGGUUGCUUUGCACAUCAAAUCCUAGUGUAUAUGCAAGAUCCAGAAACUACGGGGGCUGAGUCACCUGAUUCCAAUUUGAUGAUCCUGUUCUGUUGUCUUAGAUCUCAGAGAGGAUGGUGUUGACGUGCUAGGUUACUUCACAUGGUCCUUCCUGGAUAACUUUGAAUGGGCCGACGGGUUCGCUUCGGCCUGUUCCACAUGGACUUCUCUCGACCAGAGUGACCGUGGACCGCGUACCACUCUGGAAGGGGGUACUCCGGGAUCAUCUCCAAGUACAGAUCUCAGACCAGGACAAAUAACUAAAGAGCCAAUGGGCACAGAGCAAAUCAGCCAAAUCAGCCAAUAAAAGCUAUUUUUUUGCUCAACGUUCUGUUCUAAUCAACUACAACCAAGCUUGGUCCAUUGGAGUGUUCCUUCAUGCCAUUUUGAUUUGAAGCCCAUCUGAAACACAUUGUAGUUGUGAAGUCUUUAAGACGUUCCUUCUCACCACUUUUCUCUGUCAACCCUGAAAAUGUUUUGUAAAACAGUGCUAAGCUCAUUCGGCUCCCUUCGCAAGGAAGUGAUUUUGUCUGAUUUCUUCCCUGACUUUGGCAUAGAACUGCAAGAACCCGGCCAAAGAGUGUUACGUUUAUUCAAGUGGAUGCUAAUUUGUAUUAUAUCCUGCCCAAUUCCCAGUCAAUCUGUACAAAGGGUUUUUGGAGGGUAGAGGAGGAUGGAGAAUUCCCUACAAAGAGGAUGGAGCCAACUGUAAGCCAUCCAGGCCAAGCUGUUGUUGCCAAUGCAGGGUUGGUCGGGGGCACAAGUCUACAGAGGAGUGUGUGUGUGUGUGUUUCUGUGUCUUUGUCUGUGUGCCUGCGUGCGCAUUCUCGUAUGUGUGGGUCUGGAUCUUUGUGUGUGUGUCUGUAUCUUUGUGUGUGUGUUUGAAUGUGUGUGUGUAAUCUUAUAUCUCAACCCGCAAGGCCCCUAUAUGGCUCAGUUGAGGGUUUUUUGAGAUCCUAUACAGCCCUCAUGGUGAAAAAAAUACACAAUGCCACUCAUUGUGCCCAGUGGAGGGUUAGAGUUGAGUGAGCGCUUGAUGUAACACUAAGAGUAAAUCCUACUUGGCCUGGGUAGGGAGUGGCGCCAGACAGGAGCCCAUACCCAGGUAUGAAUGAUCACAUAGUCUAAUGCAGAUUUGUAUUUACAAACAGUGAAUCAGAGAUUAUGCACAGGGGUUACUGGGAAGUCAGUACAUUAUGAGGGAAGAGAUUUACGCACAUUCAAAUGUGCAGGACGAGGACAAAGAUUUGAAUGGAAAAACAUUUACCAACCAAAUGUAAGCAAAUUGUGCACUUCUGCUCAAGGUUUGUUCGCUGUGCUAUUCAGUGGCAGGGGAAAAGUCUGGGUACAUACCGUACUGUACAUAUACAAGGGAAACGGUCCUUUUCAGCUUCAAUGGUAAAAGGCAUCUUCAGAUUUGUUCUUAUUGUAAAAUGUAAAGGCUCCGCCCAUAGGGGGCUGAGGUAAAGGAUCCGCACAUAGGGGGCUGAGGUAAAGGAUCCGCCCAUAGGGGGCUGAGGUAAAGGAUCCGCCCAUAGGGGGCUGAGGUAAAGGAUCCGCCCAUAGGGGGCUGAGGUAAAGGCUCUGCCCUUAGGGGGCUGAGGUAAAGGCUCUGCCCUUAGGGGGCUGAGGUAAAGGAUCGACCCAUAGGGGGGUGAGGUAAAGGGUCCGCCCAUAGGGGGCUGAGGUAAAGGAUCCUCCCAUUGAGGGCUGAGGUAAAGUCAGACAGCUCUCUUAAAGGAUCCAAACAGUAGGAAGAAUUAUGAUACUUCUGGUGUAUCAGACAGUAGUCAGAUGAAAUAGUCCCGUGGUCUAUAGACUCAGAG
rnacentral:lncRNA from 1 species